CGCUCCGCUUUCAAAUAUAUUAAGGAAAAAAUAAUUUCAAUUAAAUGAGAAAUUGCUAAUUUAUCUAACUACUAUCAUAUAUCGAAUAAAUCCUCGAGAAAUCCUAUAUUAGCAUUUAAAUUUUUGAGGUGUCUCAAAAUUUAAAAAGUUCAAACAAAUAUUGUGUCAUUUUGCCUUUGUGUAUCAAAGGUGAAACAUUUUCUAUAACCCAAAAACCCUAAUUUAGGUCAGGAUUCAGUGCUGAAUGAAUCUGCAAAACAUCGCACUCGAAAUUAAAGUAGUUAUUAGGUGGCAUCGUAAGUCCGAUUCACAGAAUUCCCAGCAAUUUUGAUUCAAAUCCAGUUCAGUUAAUUUGUGAGGUGAGCGAGCAGGAGUCGGUGCUCGAUGCUAACUCGCUCGAAACUCGUUGAACAACUCAGAGAUUACCAGGUCCGAUCCCAGCACAAGUGUCCCCCUCUUGCCGUCUUCUCCCCCAAACCCCUUCUUUCAACCUGGAGUGAUGUUGCACUUGCUGUUUUUUGGGCCUUAUUAUUUAUUGCCCUCCUAAUUUCAUCGUAUAUUACCCUUUACCUAAAACGCUACUGGGUUUCCUACAUUGUACUAUGCCUCGGUAUCCUUCUUCCUAUACGUUUGAGAAUUCUGCGGCAGUCACUUGCUAGAAAGAGAGACAGAAGACUGAUGCUGCCUCUAUCCAUGUGAGUUGGAGAGACUCAAAAUAACUAUAGCAAAAGUGGGAUUCUUGACUUCAGACUUUGCAGCUUUUUUAAUCUGUCCAUUUUAAUUAUUUAAUUAUUUUUCUAAAAUUGAGUAUCAUUUUAAUAAUUUAAUAAUGGAGUAUCAUUUUUCUAAAA